UCGUGUCUUUUGUAACUUUUAAAAAAUAACUUACUCGUGUGAAAUAAAUUCCAUAUCCAACAACCACUCGUUGUGUAACCUCUUUUUAUAUAUACUGUAUCCCCCUUGUGUAGAACAGUACAUAGGUAUCUUGUGCUAUUAUUGGAAUACAUAUCAGUAUCAGUUUACAUAUUAACGAUUAUAUAUUAAAUAAUUAAAUUUAAGUUUACUUGAACCUUUAAUGAUCGAGAUACAAUUUCAUAAGUGAAAUUUACAAAGGAUUUCUCAUAUUAAGUGUCAAAAAUUGCACAAAUGUGCGGAAAAUAAAUUUAACUUUAUGCAAGAAUGCAUUAUAUACAUUUAUAGAGUCCACAGCUGUGAUGGAUGGGUGGAUUGUGCAAAGUCUGCGAAAGUUGUACUGUAUGUAGAUCUAUAGUCAUGUCGUGAGAAAGAAAUGUGUUUUUCUACACCUGAAUAUCAAAUCAUCACCAUUCUAAAUUCUUGUUAAAAUAUAAUAUAUAAGGGACACAUUUUCUGCCAUGUAAUACACAAAAAUAUUAAUACAUGUUUGACAGUUAAAUAAAGUUAACUUUUAAAAUCAGUAUAUUACAUGUAUAUAUAUACAUAUAGAUAUAUAUUCAUUAUAUUAACUAUGACAGUAAAUUCAAAUCUUUACCUUUGGAUCAACAACACAUAGUGUAUGAUACAUUGUGCUAAUAAUUAGAUAUAACAUAUAUUAGUAACACAAAUACCGGAGGAAGACUACCCUAGCUCAUGCCCAACCGGGCCUCAAACUCAUGAUCUAUGGCACCCAUUAUCGCGUUAGCCAGAAAGACCUGCAGCCUAUACCACUGCUUUAAAUGAAUAAAUAUCAUCAUGAUCAUAUACACAUGUACCUUAAUUUUGAUUACAAUUUACAUGAAAUUAUUUAAAUCUUGAUUGGUAGUUGAUGUUUUUCUGUAUGUUUGAAAUUUCAGAAUUGAAAGAUUAGACCUAGCUAACGCUUCUUGUGCUCUUCCCAUAUAAUCCUGAAUAGUUUGAAAAACAAUUAUAACGUAAGAAUUGCAGUGUAACCUUAUUAUUAAGGAAAGGUUUUACUGUUAUUUGUUGUUUUUUCCCAUACAAAUGCCAAGUACAAGCUAGUGUUCAGUACAGUGCCAAGUACAUGUAUAUCUGCAUGCCCCUCGGAGAGGAAACAUGUAUAUCUGCAUGCCCCUCGGAGAGGAAACAUGUAGAUCUGCAUGCACCUUGGAGAGGAAACAUGUAUAUCCACUUUGCUUAACUAUAAAGUCAAGUAAUUGUUACCUCACAGAUAUUAUAGCUGCAAUUAUACUACCAUGUAAACUUUAUUUAUUUUAACAAUUGUAAAAACAAGUUACAUGUAUAUCAACUUAUAUUAAUCGCACUUGUCGGCCCGGAUUUAAGCAUUUGAGGGGUCUUACUAGCUGUGGGAAGAAGCAGAAGAACCCAGAUAAAACACACGAUCGGGCAGGUGCAUGACCCUACAUGUACAACUUUCACGUCUGAUCAAGGAAUCAAAUCCUUGCCGCCUAAGUGAAAGGUUUGGUUUGGUUUGUUUUUUUUUAUUAAAAAUAUACCAUGCCCCUUUAAGCUGGUUCUAGAGACAUGGAAAUAAAAACAAAACUUUUAUAUAACGUUCUAAACUAUGAUAAGUGCACUCUUCUGAUUUUCUUACCAUAAGCAAAAGUGCAGUGCUUAUUAUAUUAGUUCAGGGCUUAUUUGAGCUUAUUUGUCACACAUAAGAUUUUUUCAUGAUUGCAGUAACAUCAAAUCUUAUUAAAAUAGAAUGGUAACUUUCAAAAGAUAUUGUAUCCUUCCACAAGCACUUCGUUUUAUUUCACCUAUCAUAUAUAGGUAUAUGUAUGAUGUUCAUAUUCAAUAUGAAUAAUUAUUGAUAAUUAAGUAUAUAAGCUUGCACAUUUUAUAUAUAUUAUAACAAAGAUGAGCAGAACUGGUUCUAAGCAUACGUGGUAUAUUAUAUUAUCCUGUGCACAUAUCAAAUAAAAGAAAAUGAAUCCCA